rnacentral:rRNA from 1 species
GAUGAACGCUAGCGGCAGGCCUAAUACAUGCAAGUCGAACGAUAUCAUGCAGCUUGCUGGAUGAGAAAGUGGCGCACGGGUGCGUAACGCGUAUGCAACCUACCUUUAUCAGGGGGAUAGCCCGGAGAAAUCCGGAUUAAUACCGCAUAAAAUCACAGGAUGGCAUUAUCCAAUGAUCAAACAUUUAUGGGAUAAAGAUGGGCAUGCGUGUCAUUAGCUAGUUGGCGGGGUAACGGCCCACCAAGGCGACGAUGACUAGGGGAUCUGAGAGGAUGGCCCCCCACACUAGUACUGAGACAAGGACCAGACUGCUACGGGAGGCAGCAGUAAGGAAUAUUGGCCAAUGGGCGGAAGCGUGAACCAGCCAUGCCUCGUGCAGGAAGACUGCCCUAUGGGUUGUAAACUGCUUUUAUCCGGGAAUAAACCUGCUUACGUGUAAGUAGCUGAAUGUACCGGAAGAAUAAGGAUCGGCUAACUCCGUGCCAGCCGCCGCGGUAA